GGGUUGUGAGGUUAAGCGACUAAGCGUACACGGUGGAUGCCUAGGCAAUCAGAGGCGAUGAAGGACGUGCUAAUCUGCGAUAAGCGUCGGUAAGGUGAUAUGAACCGUUACAACCGACGAUUUCCGAAUGGGGAAACCCAGUGCAAUUCGUUGCACUAUCGUUUGAUGAAUACAUAGUCAAACGAAGCGAACCGGGGGAACUGAAACAUCUCAGUACCCCGAGGAAAAGAAAUCAACCGAGAUUCCCCUAGUAGCGGCGAGCGAACGGGGAGCAGCCCAGAGUCUUAAUCAGCAUUAGCAUCAGGAGAACGGUCUGGAAAGUCCGGCAGUAAAGGGUGAUAGCCCCGUAUCCGAAGGUGUUAGUGUUGUGAACUCGACGAGUAGGGCGGGACACGUGUUAUCCUGUCUGAAUAUGGGGGGACCAUCCUCCAAGGCUAAAUACUCCUGAUUGACCGAUAGUGAACCAGUACCGUGAGGGAAAGGCGAAAAGAACCCCGGCGAGGGGAGUGAAAUAGAACCUGAAACCGUGUACGUACAAGCAGUGGGAGCCCCACCACCAAAGCAUUUUCUGGUGUUGAGGACAACUUUGAAGUGGCAUUCAACACGCGUUGACGGAGCGCUUUUUGCGACGUCCAACACACAAAACAAGCAGUGAAUGUGCUUUGGGGUGGGGUGACUGCGUACCUUUUGUAUAAUGGGUCAGCGACUUAUAUUCUGUAGCAAGGUUAACCGUAUAGGGGAGCCGUAGGGAAACCGAGUCUUAACUGGGCGAAUGAGUUGCAGGGUAUAGACCCGAAACCCGGUGAUCUAGCCAUGGGCAGGUUGAAGGUUGGGUAACACUAACUGGAGGACCGAACCGACUAAUGUUGAAAAAUUAGCGGAUGACUUGUGGCUGGGGGUGAAAGGCCAAUCAAACCGGGAGAUAGCUGGUUCUCCCCGAAAGCUAUUUAGGUAGCGCCUCGUGAACUCAUCUUCGGGGGUAGAGCACUGUUUCGACUAGGGGGUCAUCCCGACUUACCAACUCGAUGCAAACUACGAAUACCGAAGAAUGUUAUCACGGGAGACACACGGCGGGUGCUAACGUUCGUCGUGAAGAGGGAAACAACCCAGACCGCCAGCUAAGGUCCCAAAGUCAUAGUUAAGUGGGAAACGAAGUGGGAAGGCUCAGACAGCCAGGAUGUUGGCUUAGAAGCAGCCAUCAUUUAAAGAAAGCGUAAUAGCUCACUGGUCGAGUCGGCCUGCGCGGAAGAUGUAACGGGGCUAAACUAUGCACCGAAGCUGCGGCAGCGAUAUUUAGAUAUUGUUGGGUAGGGGAGCGUUCUGUAAGCCUGUGAAGGUGUACUGUGAGGUAUGCUGGAGGUAUCAGAAGUGCGAAUGCUGACAUAAGUAACGAUAAUGCGGGUGAAAAACCCGCACGCCGGAAGACCAAGGGUUCCUGUCCAACGUUAAUCGGGGCAGGGUGAGUCGACCCCUAAGGCGAGGCAGAAAUGCGUAGUCGAUGGGAAACGGGUUAAUAUUCCCGUACUGGUGAUAAUUGCGAUGGGGGGACGGAGAAGGCUAGGCUAUCCGGGCGACGGUUGUCCCGGUUUAAGAAUGUAGGCAGGUGAAUUAGGCAAAUCCGGUUCACUACAUGCUGAGGUUCGAUGACGAGUCACUACGGUGAUGAAGUAGCUCAUGCCCCGCUUCCAGGAAAAGCCUCUAAGCUCUAGAUUAUCAUUAAUCGUACCCCAAACCGACACAGGUGGUCAGGUAGAGAAUACUCAGGCGCUUGAGAGAACUCGGGUGAAGGAACUAGGCAAAAUGGUGCCGUAACUUCGGGAGAAGGCACGCUGGCGCUAGGUGAAGUCCCUCGCGGAUGGAGCUGAAGCCAGUCGCAGAUACCAGCUGGCUGCAACUGUUUAUUAAAAACACAGCACUGUGCAAACACGAAAGUGGACGUAUACGGUGUGACGCCUGCCCGGUGCUGGAAGGUUAAUUGAUGGGGUUAUCCGUAAGGAGAAGCUCUUGAUCGAAGCCCCAGUAAACGGCGGCCGUAACUAUAACGGUCCUAAGGUAGCGAAAUUCCUUGUCGGGUAAGUUCCGACCUGCACGAAUGGCGUAAUGAUGGCCAGGCUGUCUCCACCCGAGACUCAGUGAAAUUGAACUCGCUGUGAAGAUGCAGUGUACCCGCGGCAAGACGGAAAGACCCCGUGAACCUUUACUAUAGCUUGACACUGAACAUUGAGCCUUGAUGUGUAGGAUAGGUGGGAGGCUUCGAAGCGUGGACGCCAGUCUGCGUGGAGCCAACCUUGAAAUACCACCCUUUAAUGUUUGAUGUUCUAACGUUGCCCCAUUAUCUGGGGUGCGGACAGUGUCUGGUGGGUAGUUUGACUGGGGCGGUCUCCUCCCAAAGAGUAACGGAGGAGCACGAAGGUUGGCUAAGCAUGGUCGGACAUCAUGCGGUUAGUGCAAAGGCAUAAGCCAGCUUGACUGCGAGAGUGACGGCUCGAGCAGGUACGAAAGUAGGUCUUAGUGAUCCGGUGGUUCUGAAUGGAAGGGCCAUCGCUCAACGGAUAAAAGGUACUCCGGGGAUAACAGGCUGAUACCGCCCAAGAGUUCAUAUCGACGGCGGUGUUUGGCACCUCGAUGUCGGCUCAUCACAUCCUGGGGCUGAAGUAGGUCCCAAGGGUACGGCUGUUCGCCGUUUAAAGUGGUACGCGAGCUGGGUUUAGAACGUCGUGAGACAGUUCGGUCCCUAUCUGCCGUGGGCGUUGGAAGAUUGAAAGGGGCUGCUCCUAGUACGAGAGGACCGGAGUGGACGCACCACUGGUGUUCGGGUUGUCAUGCCAAUGGCAUUGCCCGGUAGCUAAGUGCGGAAGAGAUAACCGCUGAAAGCAUCUAAGCGGGAAACUUGCCUUGAGAUGAGUCUUCCCUGACCCUUUAAGGGUCCUAAAGGAACGUUUAAGACUAAGACGUUGAUAGGUUGGGUGUGUAAGCAUAGCGAUAUGUUGAGCUAACCAAUACUAAUGAACCGUGAGGCUUAACCUGACAACACCGAAGGUGUUUUAG
rnacentral:rRNA from 1 species